ACUCCACCACCUCAUUUUUGAAGAAGAAAAGAAAUAGAGCCAUAUCAAGUUUUCUUUGGAAAAAAAUGACCCCAAAUUCAAUCUAGAUGAUUGCUUUGUGUGUUAGUUUUGAAGAAGUAGAUCCGAAAACAAGGUGUCAGGGUAGCAAACUCUUCUUUACUUGUUGCCUCUACUGUCUGGAUACUGGGACUAUUUUCACAGCCACACUUCUGGGGACUCCCUUAGACUUCCAACUAGGACGUGAGGUAGUGCAAUCUCUGUGCACACAGAAUUUUUGAGAAUGUUGAGAUCAGCCCUACCUCAGCCGAGCUGCAUUUCAGGCUUCCCUCUAUAAACCUGUCAAGGCUCCCUCCCACCCACCCUGCUAGCCCCCUCUCAAGCUGCUAUAGCCAGGCCCUAAGGCCUCCGGUGUCCAGGAACUAAUGGGGUUGGCAAACACAUUGUCUGCAGUGAAGGCUUUUAUUUUUGUUGACCUGCAGUGUGAGGGUUUAAUAUGCAUGAUUUCUUCUGUGGAGGGAAGCACAUGAAUCCUGCCAGCCAAGGCAGCCUCUGUUAAGUGCUUCCAACCCAAAGGCAUGAUCAAAUCUUGGUCCAGAGUCUCCAGUUUACCUUCUCAAACAGUGCCCUUUGCACAGUUUGGGGAACAGCUGGAUGUUAGGAUUUUAAUAUAUGAAUUUGAAGGGGCACACAUUUAGACCAUAGCCAUGGAUGUACUUCAGUUUAUUAGACCAGUUCACUACUGAUGGAUGCUACUCUUUGGCAGUUUUUGAAUUACUAGUGGUCGAAUGCUAGGCAGUAAAGGGCAGAGAGUGAGGGGGAAGUCUUAGGAAACCACUUUAGUGGUAGAAUGAAUUUCACCAGGCACACACAUCACAUAGCUUUGGGCCAUCUUGGUUCCAAUUGAUGGAUUUAACUGCCGUGGGCUGGACAUGAGAUGAAGCAAGGUACUGGAAGCAGAGAAGGAAACAAGGCCUUAUUGUGGCUCCAUUAGAAUCUGAUGACAAGGAAUGCGUUACCAUAACAAACAGGUUAAUUCUUUCUCAUAGUCAUGAAUUCCUAUAAAGGGCACCAGAUAUGGAGUGAGGCGAAUGGGAUCUAACCAUAUAGAACGUCAGAUUCCUCAGGGAAAGCGCACGUGGCCCCUACUGCUGCACCAGACUCCCCCAAGGUAACAAGAUACUGAGUGAACUUUUCUUUGGCCUGGGAACUGAUGGCCAGGGUCAAAGCUGAAAACAUAGGAGUCUCACAUCCCCCACAUUCUACAGAGAAAGCUGCCAAAGAGCCUCUAAAAUGGGGCCAAUCACGGGUCAACCCCAGCCAUUGCCCGGUGCUCCUCUCCAUCUCCAGCCCAAAGAGCUGACUGAGGUAGGAGUGUGGGUGAGAGGUGGAGAGCCAGCAGAGAAAGCAAAGGGUUGAUGUUGUGAGCUCUCAGCUUAUGAGGGUGGGAGGGUGUUGUGGCUAUUUCUGUGCAACUUUAAAGUCAAGUAAAGGGGUCCCAAAGGAGUCACUUGGAAAGAUAGGGCUCCUGUGGGAAGAGUGGAUGUCAUUGUAUUAGUUUUCUAUUACUGCUAUAACAUAUUACUACACAUUUAGUAGCUUAAAUAAUGCAAGUUUUUGAUUUUACAGCUUGAGAGCCUGAAUCAAUUUCAGUGAGCUAAAGUCAAGGUGUUGGCAUGUUCCUUCUCACCCUGGCUCCAUAAUCCAUAGCCUUCUCCUAAUUUUGACCCUCCUCCUUCUCAUUAGGACCCAUAUGACUACAUUAGAGCGACUCGGAUAAUCCAGGAUCCUCUCCUCAUCUCAAGAUCCUUCAUUGAACUACAUCUGCAAAGUCAAAGAGACUUACCUACCAUGAAAAGUGAUGCCAUAGACUUGGAGUUGGAGAUGAUACAUACAAUUGGCACGCUCUGCUCUGGGAGUCCAGCCAGCUGCAGGACACCCCUGCCUCACGUAACCGAGUAGGAUGGAGAUCUGCUCUGAAGGCACCUUUGUCCUCACCUAUAGAGAACUGCUGGAAGCAUUUUCUACAUCAGUAUGUUUGGCCACAUCAGACACUUACGUCAUAGAGGUCCAUCCAGGAGCAUCAGUGGGGUCCCGCCUGUUUCCAUGGUGAGUCUAGUAUUCACCCAGGCUUCAUCACCCUUUAUCUGGCAGGAGGGGCAGGCGUGCACUCACCCGUUCAGUGAAACCAUCCCUGGAGUAGUCAGGAGUCAGAGCAAUGUGAGUGUCCUCAGUGAAAAGGCAGAUGGUGGCCUUCUGAGCUGCUCCUGCAGCCCACAGGAUGCCCGCUAGCGCUGCAGCCAGUGCGCGCUCCUGCUCCUGCUUGCUUAUGGUGCACAAACUACAACGCAGGAGGAGGGUGGGAACGCAUUGCAAUGAGCAUCUCCCAGCCAAGAGCCUGGACCUCCACUUCCAUGAACCCUUCUGAGAACAUUGUGGGUCUGCUUGGUUCCUCCCUCAGCCCGCUCUGUGAGAAUGUCAUGGAAGGCCUCAUCCUCUCUGUCCCCACCCCACCCCGCCCCUGGCCCUGGGACCAGCAUCCUCACCCCAGCACAUUAUUCCUCUUGGUUCCCCCUGAGCCCCCACUGAGUCCCAUCCUUAUCCUCUCUCCCAGACUUCAGUAAGGCUCCCCCCAAACUCUUUAACCCGAUAACACAGCCCUUCCCAAGCACAACUCCAAACAAUCCUUUCGUUUUAUCUCCUAGGUUUCUAUUUCACAACCCUCUGUUCCCGAUGCACCAGUCCUCUAGACAUAUUUUCCACAUUCCACCUCCAUGCUUUUUCUCAUGCACUCGUCUGCCUUUAAUAUGCAUGUCAUGCUUGUCCUUUCUGCCUGAUCACACCCUACGAGUCAUUUGAGGCCUCCUUAGGUUUGCCUUUAUUAACCUGAGGCUUACAUUCGCCUGGCACUCAUGGGGCCCAGCUUUGCUCUUGUACCUAACACGCAGCACCUCAUUUAAUCCUUACAACAACUUUCGAGGUGGAUACUAUUAUUACUCCCAUUUUAGAGGUGAGGAAAGUAAGACAGACAGGUGGAGUAACUUGCCCCCCGUCUUUCACCUUUAAGGCAACAGAGCAGUGAUUUGAAUGGAGGCAGUCUGCCUCUGGACUCCCUGUCCUUAACCAUUCUAUUCCAUCAGAUAAACCCUACCUGCCAGACUUCCUGGAAAUGAGAGCUGAUCUUUAUGUCACAGACCUUUCCUAGGCUAAUUUUCUAAAUAUUUAGCAUUGGCAACUUUAACAUUGUCAUGAAGAAACACGUGAUGGAGGUGAAGAAAUGAACUCGACCAUGAUUUUUAGAAUCCAUCCAGCUCUGUGGUGACCCGGAAAUGAACAGCAGGAGCCUCAGUGUCCACAUCCCUUGUCCAAGGUAGAAUGAGGAUAAAUAAAACAAAGUGCUAUGAGACUACAGAGGCAGGAGAGAGAACUUGCUAUUGGGAAGGUUCAGGAAGGCUUUAUGGAGCAGGUCAAUAAGACCUCAUUACCAUUUAUUUAAUACUUGCCACAUGCUGGGUCCUAUGCUAACUGCCUUCUAUUUGUGUAGAAAAUGUUGUGUGUGUUCCCUCUAGAUUCUUUGGGAUGCCUUUUACUCAGUUGGUGGCCAUGAUGCCCCUGCUGCUUUGGGUCCUGCUGGUAGAGGCUCGGGCUUUUCGACUUUCUCUGAAGAAUUGGAGCCACCUUCCCUGGAAGUGACUGGGAGUUAUACCACCUUCCCAGAAGAUAGCCCUUAGUGGAUGCCUGAUGGGGGUGGGAGGUGCCAAAGCCCCGCCCCCUUAUCGGAAGAUGGGGCAGUUGCCCCCCAGAGCUCCCAUGGACCGGGCUGAAGCUACACACCAAUAGCAACCACAUCCUUCCUUCCCUCCUCCACCUUCCCUAGUCUGCUUCCCUGCUCUCUUACGGGUUUUUUUCUCCUGAGGGCAUUCAUGCCCUUAAUGAAUCACCUGCAUAAAGCAUUCCCAUCUCUGGCUCUGCUUCUAAGGAUCCUGGCAAUUCACAAUCUUAGAAUAGAUUAGACAUCAGUUCCUGUUUUGGGUGAUAACUUAUCCUGCCUGAGGGCGGGGAGAUGCCUUUUAAUUAUUUCUGUUUCCUCUAAUAUCAACCGUAGAGCCUUGUGCAUGAUAAGGGUUUGAUAACCUUUAAGAACAAAAUAAUUUGAACUGAUUUUUUAAUAGGAAACUACCAAACACUGUACUUUAAAAACAGCCUGGUUAAAUAGGAGAACAAAUCCAUCAUUUAUUAGCUUUUUCAUUACCCCUUUCAUUCCCUCUCCAGAAUUGUUAGGUUGGGGCUUCCCAUCAAAUGCUGUCAAGUAAGCCCACCUGGUGACCAGGGGCUUCAUUUCACCUGUCAGGGUGGUCUGCAGUGGAGCAUAAAAACUGUCAGCAUCAUUCCUGCCACUGAACACUGAGAGGGGCUCUGGGAGAGGCCCCACCCCCACCCCAAUUACAAAACCCAGCCCCUCUGGGAGAACCAGAGCCAUUUCUCUCUUACGAGGCAAGUCCCCUUCCUGAGGCAACCCAGGGGAUUUUCUCCAGUGAUUAUUUAGCCUAUAAAGAUUCUCAUGAAAUGGGUAAUUCUUUUCACCUAGUUCUCAUAGGCCUCUUACCUGAGAAAGUUACAAUCUUUUCCCUUCCUUGUAAACAGCAAGUGUUUAAUGAUGGAUCCUUGUACAGCCAUCUGAAUGCUUUGGGCACUUCCCUGAAAUGGGGAGGGUGAGUGGUAAGGCUUUACAGUUGCAGUGGAGCCCUCACGGCCCACAUGAUAAAAGAUAAGCCUUGGAAAGUGAUGUCAUUUUUUCUUCUUGGCAGCCUUUUCCUUUCUGGGUGCAGCAUCCCCUCAGCUGAGCACAAGGACACUGUUCUCUUCAUGUGUCACCACUCCCCCUGGGCUGUGGCGGGGAGCCACGGCUGGGCUGGAAUCUGCAAUGACUAGCCUCUCUGUGGAGCCCUGUCUUCUUCUCUGCCUUCACCAGGCCCUGCCUUAUAUCCAGCUUUUAGAAUUUCGGAAAGUAAGGAACUGGUCGGCUAGCUUUUGAAAUUCUGUGUGACUGGUGAUCAAUAAUAUGAAUUAUUGAGGGUUGGGUUUUUUUUUGCUUUUUAG